rnacentral:rRNA from 1 species
UGGAGGAUGAAGGUCCUCUGGAUUGUAAACUUCUUUUAUUUGGGAAGAAAUCUAUCUUUUCUUGGAUAGUUGACGGUACCAGAUGAAUAAGCACCGGCUAACUCCGUGCCAGCAGCCGCGGUAAUACGGAGGGUGCAAGCGUUAUCCGGAUUCACUGGGUUUAAAGGGUGCGUAGGUGGGCAGGUAAGUCAGUGGUGAAAUCUCCGGGCUUAACCCGGAAACUGCCAUUGAUACUAUCUGUCUUGAAUACCCUGGAGGUGAGCGGAAUAUGUCAUGUAGCGGUGAAAUGCUUAGAUAUGACAUAGAACACCCAUUGCGAAGGCAGCUCACUACGGGAAUAUUGACACUGAGGCACGAAAGCGUGGGGAUCAAACAGGAUUAGAUACCCUGGUAGUCCACGCCCUAAACGAUGGAUACUCGACAUCAGCGAUAAACUGUUGGUGUCUGAGCAAAAGCAUUAAGUAUCCCACCUGGGAAGUACGAUCGCAAGAUUG